CCUUGGUCUUGCAAGAGGGGCUUUACCCCCUGGGUGGGCUGUCACCUGGGGUAGAAAUGGCGUUUCCUAGGCGUGUGUUGGGUGAGGUCCGGGGGCCCAGCACUGUUCCAGGACUCAUGUUGGCCUUUGUCCCCUCAGUGAAACAUGCCUGAGACAAGUGGACAACAGGUUGGUGGAGAAUUUUGGGGUCCAGGAAGAUCGCAUGGACCUGCACCCGGUAUAUGUGGAGUCCCAGCUAAUGGACGCUGACCUGGAGGUCUCCAUGGUGCCACCACUAGAGGAUCAGCGCCUUGUGGCCAUCUCCAUGGAGGCUUGUCCAGAGGAGCCGCCACCACCCCCACCCCUACCACCUGAGUAGGGCUGAGGGCAGCUGGGGGAGAG
rnacentral:sRNA from 1 species